GUCCUUUUGAUUAUAAUUAAAGGUCUAGUCUGCUCAAUGAUGAAUUAAAUAGCUGCAGUAUUUUGACUGUACAAAGGUAGCAUAAUAAUUAGUUACUUAAUUAGUAGCUUGUAUGAAUGAUUGGACAAGAAAAUUUCUGUCUUUUUAAAAAUUUUUUUGAAUUUUAUUUUUAAGUUAAAAUGCUUAAUUUUAUAUAAAAGACGAGAAGACCCCGUAGAGUUUUAUUUUUAAAAUUUUUAGAAUAAUAAUUAUAAUUAAAAAAUUAGUUGGGGUGACUAAAAGAUUAAAUUAAUUCUUUAAAUUUUAAUCAUUGAUUUUUGAAUAAUGAGUCUAAUUUUAUUAAAUUUAAAUAAAAUUACCUUGGGGAUAACAGCGUAAUUCUUUUUUAGAGUUCUUAUCAAAUAAAGAGAUUGCGACCUCGAUGUUGGAUUAAAAUUUAUUUUAGGUGUAGAAGUCUAAAAAUUAAGUCUGUUCGACUUUUAAAA
rnacentral:rRNA from 1 species